GUGCUUACACAUGCAAGUCGAACGAUGAUGCUGGAGCUUGCUCCAGUUGAUUAGUGGCGAACGGGUGAGUAACACGUGAGCAAUCUGCCCUUGACUCUGGGAUAACUGCGGGAAACUGUAGCUAAUACCGGAUACUUUCACCGGAAGGCAUCUUCUGGUGAUGAAAGAAUUUCGGUCAGGGAUGAGCUCGCGGCCUAUCAGCUUGUUGGUGAGGUAACGGCUCACCAAGGCGACGACGGGUAACCGGCCUGAGAGGGUGACCGGUCACACUGGGACUGAGACACGGCCCAGACUCCUACGGGAGGCAGCAGUGGGGAAUAUUGCACAAUGGGCGCAAGCCUGAUGCAGCAACGCCGCGUGAGGGAUGAAGGCCUUCGGGUUGUAAACCUCUUUUAGCAGGGAAGAAGCGAAAGUGACGGUACCUGCAGAAAAAGCACCGGCUAACUACGUGCCAGCAGCCGCGGUAAUACGUAGGGUGCAAGCGUUGUCCGGAAUUAUUGGGCGUAAAGAGCUCGUAGGCGGUUUGUCACGUCUGCUGUGAAAAUCCAAGGCUCAACCUUGGACUUGCAGUGGGUACGGGCAGGCUAGAGUGCGGUAGGGGAGAUGGGAAUUCCUGGUGUAGCGGUGGAAUGCGCAGAUAUCAGGAGGAACACCAAUGGCGAAGGCACAUCUCUGGGCCGUAACUGACGCUGAGGAGCGAAAGCGUGGGGAGCAAACAGGAUUAGAUA
rnacentral:rRNA from 1 species